AGUAAUGUAUGGGGAUCUGCCUGAUGGCGGGGGAUAACUACUGGAAACGGUAGCCAAUACCGCAUAAUGUCUGCGGACCAAAGCGGGGGACCUCCGGGCCUCGCGCCAUCAGAUGAACCCAUAUGGGAUUAGCUAGUAGGUAAGGUAACGGCUUACCUAGGCGACGAUCCCUAGCUGGUCUGAGAGGAUGAUCAGCCACACUGGGACUGAGACACGGCCCAG
rnacentral:rRNA from 1 species